rnacentral:rRNA from 1 species
AAUCAACGCUGGCGGCGUGCCUCAGACAUGCAAGUCGAACGAUUUAAAGCUCUCUUCGGAGAGUGUAUAGAGUGGCGCACGGGUGAGUAACACGUAAGUAAUCUACCUUUGAGUGGGAAUAACAGUCGGAAACGACUGCUAAUACCGCAUAAUGCAGCGGCACCGCAAGGUGACAGUUGUUAAAGGAGCAAUUCGCUUAAAGAGGAGCUUGCGGCAGAUUAGCUUGUUGGUAAGGUAACGGCUUACCAAGGCUACGAUCUGUAUCCGGUCUUAGAGGACGGUCGGACACACUGACACUGAAUAACGGGUCAGACU